CAGGCCUAACACAUGCAAGUCGAGCGCCCUAGCAAUACGGAGCGGCAGACGGGUGAGUAACGCGUGGGAAUCUAUCCUUUGCUACGGAACAACUCCGGGAAACUGGAGCUAAUACCGUAUGUGCCCUUCGGGGGAAAGUUUUAACGGCAAAGGGUGAGCCCGCGUCCGAUUAGCUAGUUGGUGGGGUAAAGGCCUACCAAGGCGACGAUCGGUAGCUGGUCUGAGAGGAUGAUCAGCCACACUGGGACUGAGACACGGCCCAGACUCCUACGGGAGGCAGCAGUGGGGAAUAUUGGACAAUGGGCGAAAGCCUGAUCCAGCAAUGCCGCGUGAGUGAUGAAGGCCUUAGGGUUGUAAAGCUCUUUUACCCGGGAUGAUAAUGACAGUACCGGGAGAAUAAGCUCCGGCUAACUCCGUGCCAGCAGCCGCGGUAAU
rnacentral:rRNA from 1 species